rnacentral:rRNA from 1 species
GUAGGUGGCAAGCGUUGUCCGGAAUUAUUGGGCGUAAAGCGCGCGCAGGCGGUUUUUUAAGUCUGAUGUGAAAGCCCACGGCUCAACCGUGGAGGGUCAUUGGAAACUGGAGAACUUAAGUACAGAAGAGGAAAGCGGAAUUCCACGUGUAGCGGUGAAAUGCGUAGAGAUGUGGAGGAACACCAGUGGCGAAGGCGGCUUUCUGGUCUGUAACUGACGCUGAGGCGCGAAAGCGUGGGGAGCAAACAGGGAUUAGAUACCCUGGUAGUCCACGCCGUAAACGAUGAGUGCUAAGUGUUAGGGGGUUUCCCGCCCCUUAGUGCUGCAGCUAACGCAUUAAGCACUCCGCCUGGGGAGUACGGCCGCAAGGCUG